UACGUAGGGUGCGAGCGUUGUCCGGAAUUAUUGGGCGUAAAGAGCUCGUAGGCGGUGUGUCACGUCGUUCGUGAAAACCUGCAGCUUAACUGUGGGCGUGCGGUCGAUACGGGCAUCACUGGAGUUCGGCAGGGGAGACUGGAAUUCCUGGUGUAGCGGUGAAAUGCGUAGAUAUCGGAAGGAACACCAGUGGCGAAGGCGGCUACCUGGAUUGACACUGACACUGAGGCGCGAGAGCGUGGGGAGCAAACAGG
rnacentral:rRNA from 1 species